AUCGCUUCUCGGCCUUUUGGCUAAGAUCAAGUGUAGUACAGAAUAGCUACAUUUUUUCAAUAUUUUUACCACUCUAC
rnacentral:snRNA from 1 species